CCUCAGCCCUCCGCCACCACGCCCAGCUAAUUGUUUGUAUUUUUAGUAUAGACGGAGAUUUCACCAUGUUAGCCAGGAUGGUCUCGAUUUCCUUACCUCAUGAUCCCCUGCCUCGGCCUCCCAAAGUGCUGGGAUUACAGGCGUGAACCAAGGCGCCCGGCCGGAGUAGGAAUUUUAUGGGUUAUAAACUAAGGAUAUGGAGGUCGACUUGAGGAAGAAACCUGGAGUAUAAAAAUUCAGUUUGGAAAAAGACGUUUUGUCUCUUAAACUGAAGCACAUUCCUGCCAUUCAUUCGGACCAUACGAAGAUAAAACUAAAAACUUUUCUCUAAAGCUCCUGGUGAUGGUAGUUGAGUCAAUGAGCCACCAGCAACAACAAAGGACAAAAAGACUGCCAAAAAGUUCUAUGGCACAAGAAGUUUGAGAACUAGUGCUGUGGAUACCAUCUAUACAGCAAAGCACUAUGCUUCUGACGAUAGACCCUGCUUUCCUAAUUGAUCAAGAGAUAAAUAAGUGAUUCCAGCUGGCUAAAUGUGUGUUGCUGGCAAUAUGUGGCCCCAGGGGAGAGGCAAAAGUGGAGGUUCCCGAGUCAUCUGAGAUUUGUUGCCUCGGAACAGGAUCCACAGCUCAAUAAUAGUCACUGUACUGUCAUUGUUUAUUUGAAAUCUAAAGGUGUAAUGCAAGAAUAUGCAAGACCACAGGGACUGGAGACACAAAGAGCAUCUGAAGAGAGCUUGAAUGACUCCCAACAGUUCCAGUCUCAAAGUUACCAUGUGCAGCACAGUCAGGGCAGGUCUGUCUAACUGGGCUUCCUUGAAUUAACUUCCACAUAGAAUACAUUGUUUAUUAAAGAAUAAGUAUUUUUUUCUAGCUUAAAUCUUGCGUGUAUAUAAUAUUAUUAAAUCUCAAUGGGAACCUCAGGAAUUGUUUUGAAAUUAGAUCUACCAAAGAUGUUUCUCAAGGAGGAGUAUUUUAUUUUUGAAUUGUUUAGAAUUGCUGGAACACAGUGAUAAUAGUAGGGCAAAUCAUAGCCAAUUUGUUAUUGUUAUUAAAUUCUCUGUAGACAAUGCACACUCUUGUCUGUACUGGGGAAGACUGCACCGUCUGCUCCACUCUUUGUACACUAUGUGUCAGCUUUGACUUAACCAUUUUUACUACAUUUCUGUAUUAGAUUCCAAGUUUCAAAGAGAAGGUAUAUUGUAUACUGUCUUCUUCCCUAACCUUAUAUCCUUUUGCUCCACAUUUUAUUACAGCCAUGAUGACCCAUUUUACGUCAAAUUGAUCAGAUCAUGAAAUAUCCAAAUAUUUGGUGAAAAAUUAUCCUAGGUGUUUCUGUGAGAGUAUUUUUGGAUGAAAUUAACCUUUUAAUCAGUAGAGAAAAUUGCCCUCCAUAAUGUGUGCGGGCCUCAUCCAAUCAGUUGAAGACCCCAAAAGAAUAAAAAUAUUGACUGUCACUUCCCUGAGCAAAAUAAUUUUCCAACAGACUCCCUUUGGACUUCAUCUACACCAUUGGCUUUCCUGGGUCUUGAGUGUGCUGGUCCACACUGCAGAUUUAGAUUGCCAGUCUCCAUAAUGCAUGAGCCAAUUAUAAUAAAUCACUUCACACACAAAUUCUAUUAGUUCUAUUUCUCUGGAGUAACAAACAGCUUCUUAAAGGUGCCACUUGACAGAACUUCAGUAUAAUUGUUCUACGUAGAUCUCACUUUCUUGGAACUAUGCUAACUCUGUUGUUAUUCGUUAAAAUAUAGACCAGAGGCACACUGAUUGACUUGACAUAUCACAGUACACUAGGCUAGUUCACCAUAUUGGUGGCAUACUAAUAGCACCUAUUGAAAAGAAGCUAGUAAAUAUUUUGAAUACCUUAACAAGGCAUGUAAAUGAAAGUGAAGGAGAGAUAACCCCAUGAAGAUCCAAGACCUUGCCAGACUGAUAAAAUUUUUCUGGACCUUGCUGAUAUACCCUAUAAAAUUAAAUGGUCAUUAUAGAAAACGGUAUGGAGUUUUCUCAAAAAAAUAAAAAUAGAACUUCCAAAUUAUUCAGUAAUACAACUACUAGGGAUAUAUCCAAAGAAAAUGAAAUUAGUAUGUCAAAGAGAUAUCUGUACUACCAUGUUCAUUGUUGCACUAUUCACAAUAGCCAAGUUAUGGACUCAAACUGACAGUCCAUCAAUAGAUUA
rnacentral:lncRNA from 1 species